UACGUAGGGGGCAAGCGUUGUCCGGAUUUAUUGGGCGUAAAGAGCGUGUAGGCGGUUUUGGUAGGUCCGUUGUGAAAACUCGAGGCUCAACCUCGAGACGCCGAUGGAAACCAUCAGACUAGAGUCCGGAAGAGGAGAGUGGAAUUCCUGGUGUAGCGGUGAAAUGCGCAGAUAUCAGGAAGAACACCCGUGGCUAAGGCGGCUCUCUAGUACGGUACUGACGCUGAGACGCGAAAGCGUGGGGAGCGAACAGG
rnacentral:rRNA from 1 species